AUGUCUUCAGUUUCAGGAUAUGCCUUUCACAUGAGUCAUCUGAGUGCCCAGUUGUUUGGUGAAGUUGCCAGACCUACUGAUUCCAAAUCCAUGAAAGUGGUGAAGCUGUUUAGUGAGCAGCCUUUGGCCAAUAGGAAGGAGACUUAUGACUGGUAUCUAAGUCACAACACUUAUUUUGCACUCAUGGGAGCACUAUAUUUUCUUGACCUCUACAGAGACGAGCAUCAGGACUUUCAGGAUGAGCAGCUGCAUCUGAAGAAGAUUUGUGGAAAGCGGAAACCAAGGAAAGGAGAAGGGAAAAGAACAGCAAAAAAGAAAUAGUGUUGGUCCAUCAAGAGAGAAGACUUUUCCCUCAGGGACUGAGAGCAAGAGGAAGUGUAUUUAUUGUCCUUCCACAUACUGGAGGAGUGUAAGCUUCCUAAAUUGAAGGUUAUUUGGAGGAACACAGUCAUCUCCAUGUUGAAGUCUAAUCCAGCUGAAUUGUGACUUGUUUCAUGAACACAUUCUAAUUCUGCAAAAUUAUUUGCCUUGGUUCUGUAAUCUGAGGUUUACCUUAUUCCCCAAAGAAAUGAAUGCAUGAUUAUU